rnacentral:rRNA from 1 species
CUGCAUGAAGUCGGAAUCGCUAGUAAUCGCGAGUCAGCAUAUCGCGGUGAAUACGUUCCCGGGUCUUGUACACACCGCCCGUCACACCAUGGGAGUUGGCAACACCCGAAGUCGAUGAGCUAACCGUAAGGAGGCAGUCGCCUAAGGUGGGGUUGAUAACUGGGGUGAAGUCGUAACAAGGUACC